CCCGCUGAACUUAAGCAUAUCAAUAAGCGGAGGAAAAGAAACUAACAAGGAUUCCCCUAGUAACUGCGAGUGAAGCGGGAAGAGCUCAAAUUUGAAAUCUGGCAGCUCUUUGAACUGUCCGAGUUGUAAUCUAAAGAAGUGUUACCUGUGCUGGACCGUGUACAAGUCUCCUGGGAUGGAGCGUCAUAGAGGGUGAGAAUCCCGUCUUUGACACGGACUGCCUGCAUGUUAUGGUGCGCUCUCAAAGAGUCGAGUUGUUUGGGAAUGCAGCUCAAAAUGGGUGGUAAAUGCCAUCUAAAGCUAAAUAUUGGCGAGAGACCGAUAGCGAACAAGUACCGUGAGGGAAAGAUGAAAAGAACUUUGGAAAGAGAGUUAAACAGUACGUGAAAUUGCUGAAAGGGAAACGCUUGAAGUCAGUCGCGUCGGCUAGAAAUCAACCUUGCUUUUGCUUGGUGUACUUUCUUGUUGAUGGGUCAGCAUCAAUUUUGACCGUUGGAUAAAGUCUUUGGGAAUGUGGCAUCUCAGGAUGUGUUAUAGCCCAUUGUCGCAUACGACGGUUGGGAUUGAGGAACUCAGCACGCCCGCAAGGGACGGGUUUCGACCACGUUCGUGCUUAGGAUGCUGGCAUAAUGGCUUUAAUCGACCCGUCUUGAAACACGG
rnacentral:rRNA from 1 species